GAUGAAGACGCAGCGAACGUGCGAAACGUAAUGUGAAUUGCAGAAUUCAGUGAAUCAUCGAAUCUUUGAACGCAUCUUGCGCUCCUUGGUAUUCCGAGGAGCAUGCCUGUUUGAGUGUCGUGAAAUACUCUCAAUUUCAAUCUUUUUGUUUGAAAUUGGAUUUGGAUGUUGUUGUGGAUCUUGCUACGACUCAUCCUAAAUGCAUUAGCGAUCUGCCUUGAUCACACACAAUGUGAUAAGAUGAGCAUUGUUAUAAUCAAGUCAUGACUGCUUCUAACCGUCCCUUUGGGACAAACGUCUUAUGUCGUUUGACCUCAAAUCAGGUAGGACUACCCGCUGAACUUAAGCAUAUCAAUAAGCGGAGGA
rnacentral:misc_RNA from 1 species